CCUACGGGAGGCAGCAGUGGGGAAUAUUGGACAAUGGGGGGAACCCUGAUCCAGCCAUGCCGCGUGUGUGAAGAAGGCCCUCGGGUUGUAAAGCACUUUCAGUGAGGAAGAACGCCUGGUGGUUAAUACCCAUCAGGAAAGACAUCACUCACAGAAGAAGCACCGGCUAACUCCGUGCCAGCAGCCGCGGUAAUACGGAGGGUGCGAGCGUUAAUCGGAAUUACUGGGCGUAAAGCGCGCGUAGGUGGCUUGAUAAGCCGGUUGUGAAAGCCCCGGGCUCAACCUGGGAACGGCAUCCGGAACUGUCAAGGUAGAGUGCAGGAGAGGAAGGUAGAAUUCCCGGUGUAGCGGUGAAAUGCGUAGAGAUCGGGAGGAAUACCAGUGGAGAAGGCGGCCUUCUGGACUGACACUGACACUGAGGUGCGAAAGCGUGGGUAGCAAACAGGAUUAGAUACCCGGGUAGUC
rnacentral:rRNA from 1 species